UUUAGCUACAGGCUUAACACAUGCAAGUCGAGGGGCAGCAUGGUCUUAGCUUGCUAAGGCCGAUGGCGACCGGCGCACGGGUGAGUAACACGUAUCCAACCUGCCGUCUACUCUUGGACAGCCUUCUGAAAGGAAGAUUAAUACAAGAUGGCAUCAUGAGUCCGCAUGUUCACAUGAUUAAAGGUAUUCCGGUAGACGAUGGGGAUGCGUUCCAUUAGAUAGUAGGCGGGGUAACGGCCCACCUAGUCUUCGAUGGAUAGGGGUUCUGAGAGGAAGGUCCCCCACAUUGGAACUGAGACACGGUCCAAACUCCUACGGGAGGCAGCAGUGAGGAAUAUUGGUCAAUGGGCGAAAGCCUGAACCAGCCAAGUAGCGUGAAGGAUGACUGCCCUAUGGGUUGUAAACUUCUUUUAUAAAGGAAUAAAGUCGGGUAUGGAUACCCGUUUGCAUGUACUUUAUGAAUAAGGAUCGGCUAACUCCGUGCCAGCAGCCGCGGUAAUACGGAGGAUCCGAGCGUUAUCCGGAUUUAUUGGGUUUAAAGGGAGCGUAGAUGGAUGUUUAAGUCAGUUGUGAAAGUUUGCGGCUCAACCGUAAAAUUGCAGUUGAUACUGGAUAUCUUGAGUGCAGUUGAGGCAGGCGGAAUUCGUGGUGUAGCGGUGAAAUUGCUUAGAUAUCACGAAGAACUCCGAUUGCGAAGGCAGCCUGGUAAGCUGCAACUGACAUUGAGGCUCGAAAGUGUGGGUAUCAAACAGGAUUAGAUACCCUGGUAGUCCACACGGUAAACGAUGAAUACUCGCUGUUUGCGAUAUACUGCAAGCGGCCAAGCGAAAGCGUUAAGUAUUCCACCUGGGGAGUACGCCGGCAACGGUGAAACUCAAAGGAAUUGACGGGGGCCCGCACAAGCGGAGGAACAUGUGGUUUAAUUCGAUGAUACGCGAGGAACCUUACCCGGGCUUAAAUUGCAGAUGAAUUACGGUGAAAGCCGUAAGCCGCAAGGCAUCUGUGAAGGUGCUGCAUGGUUGUCGUCAGCUCGUGCCGUGAGGUGUCGGCUUAAGUGCCAUAACGAGCGCAACCCUUGUUGUCAGUUACUAACAGGUUCCGCUGAGGACUCUGACAAGACUGCCAUCGUAAGAUGUGAGGAAGGUGGGGAUGACGUCAAAUCAGCACGGCCCUUACGUCCGGGGCUACACACGUGUUACAAUGGGGGGUACAGAGGGUCGCUACCACGCGAGUGGAUGCCAAUCCCCAAAACCUCUCUCAGUUCGGACUGGAGUCUGCAACCCGACUCCACGAAGCUGGAUUCGCUAGUAAUCGCGCAUCAGCCACGGCGCGGUGAAUACGUUCCCGGGCCUUGUACACACCGCCCGUCAAGCCAUGGGAGCCGGGGGUACCUGAAGUGCGUAACCGCGAGGAGCGCCCUAGGGUAAAACUGGUGACUGGGG
rnacentral:rRNA from 1 species